GCCUGUUCCUGCCUGCCCCACAAUCUGAGCCUCUGCUAUCGCUGCUGGAGGAGUUGAAAAUGAGCUGCAGGGUGGUCUCAAACCCGCCUGUCCGAGCCUGGUGCUUCCACUAGCUUCCAUGCACCCAGAGACGUGAGAGCAGAGCUUGGCCUGAAGCAGGAUUCGAAGUGGCUCCUGCUAUGGCUCCGCUCCCUGGUGAGGGGGUAGCCAGGCUCCAUCUCUCUCCCAUCAGUGCCCUGCUGGCCGUGGCUCUCCUGGGUGUCCUGGUCCUCCUCUCUGCCCUGUGUGCUGCCUGCCGAAGGAAAGGCAAGAAGAAGAAGGUCCUGCCAGAUGGGGUAAAGCUGAUAAAUGAGUCUCUGCUGAGGCAGACACAGCUCCGGUCGCUCAGUAAAUCGGACACCAAGCUGCACGAGCUCAACAGGGUGAAGCUGCAGAAAGACAGCCACAGGCCUGUCAGCAUGGAUUUCCUCUACACGUCUGGGGCUUCAGGUGAGGCAGAGAGCUCCAUGAACAGCUCAAGCAUCAGCAUCAGCAUCCUGCUGCGCAGAGAGCUGCCCCGAAUCCCCCUGUCUCCCUCUUGCACUGAGACCCCGAACGCUGACCAGACCUACUCCAACUUGGUCUUCUCUGCCGCGCGGAGGUCAGCCCCGGAGACGCUGUACGAGCCUGUGGUGGCGAAGCAGGGAGCACCGCAGCUGGUGCCCAACUUGGCACCCUCCACCGAGGCCGCCUCUUUAGGCAGUGAGGGCAGAGCGGUGACAGCUGAUUACGCCUGCGUCCGCAAAGUGAAGAAACCCCAGCCAGAGCUGUGCAAGAUGACGCCGGGCGAGUCCUCCCAGGAGCCCUCGGACAGCCUCCCAGGCUGGGGAGGAGCUGCCUGUAGCCCCCCGACAGUGAAGGUGGAGGAAAUGUACUCAACGGUGUGCAAGGCUGGCAAGAAGAAAGCCCAGGACUCCGCGUCUGCAGGAAGGGCUGCUGCAGAGGUGGGUCCCGGAGACCGCAGCUGGCCAGCGGCACGCCAGGAAGAGGGCGUCACGGCAGGGUACCCAUCCACCCUGGCUUGCCCCUUGCUCAUCGAGCCCUGCUACGAGUCUGUCGAUGACAGCCCCUGGGCCAAGCGUGGGAGCGGCCCAGCCCCGGAUCCAGACUAUGCAGAGGUUGAUGCCAAGUGGAAGAAGUCGGAGAGAAAAAGCAGGUCUCCCAGGAGCUGCCCCAGCGAGAACUUCUAUGAAAGCGUCAGCGACCUGUGGGAAGGGGAGGUGAGGAGAACAACUACCACAAAGGUCCACAAUGGGUUGGAGGUCUUCAUCACGGGCUUAUAGCCCCUCUCACACAGCUGCCCCCUUCCUGGCAGCCCCGGGGCAGCCCCUCUGCACUGCCAUAGAGACCUCCAGCUGCCCUGCAGUUCAGCCAUCCAGCAAGGUACCGCAGGGAAGUCCAGCCUUGUUCUGCGAACUGUAAUCCCUUUGGUGCUUUAGGGCACGCACCCAUCUCUGACUCUCCUGGAGAGAGACUGUCCCAUGACUGCUCUCAGCUUCCUCUGAAGCAGCUGGUGCUGGCCCCUUCUGGGGGCAGGAGACUGGUCUGGAUGGGAGUGUUUGGGCUGGACGGGGUUUGUGUCCAUUUUAGAGGGACACAGACCCCCGGCUCAGGCACCUGCCCUGCCUGUGACUUGAGGCAGGGUCUGGAGAAGAAGAGUGUAGAAACCUAGUCUAGGAAAGGGGCAGCUGAGUUCCUAAGGACGCGUCCUUCUACACUGUACUCCGCCCUUGUAAGCUUAUUGUUCUGUACGUUAUAGCCCGCAGGCUCACACUGCCAUACCUGAGAUACCCAGAAGCGGAGCAGUCUGGAUUACCUGAGAACGUGCGUUUCACGUGAUACAGGCGGUCUGUCUCUUUCCUGUGAGACGGGACGGCCUCCUGUCCAGGCCACCCACCUCUGAUUAUGGGCUGGCCAGAGAGAUCACAAUUUGUGGUGCUAAUUGCAAGGUGAAGCCAAGGUUUGCCGGGUCUCUGUGUCACGCUGGAGAGUGCAGGGGAUAGCCAGCACCAAGACUGUCACGCUAGGGAAGGGGACCUCCCGAGGGAGGUGGGGCCAGCUCACUGCAGGUCCCGGGGCAUGGGGGAAGGGAUUGCAAAGGAAUUCACUUGGCUACAGCCUCCUGCAGCCCUCUGUCCCUCUGGGCGCUCACCCUGCGUUUCCUGAGUGAUACAGCCCUGCAUGGGGAUGCACGGGCCAGAGCUUAUUUCUAGCUCGACCAUUGGGUGAUUAAGGAAACAUCACAGUUCAGUGCUUCCUCGUGCAAAACGGGAAGGAUGUUCCUGGCCUCCAGUGCCAGGCACCUUGAGCAAGGCAAGAGACCUCCUGUGUCAUCAAGUCAGUCCCUUGCAGGCAACAACGUCUUCUAAGCCUGUUUGCAAGCUCCUGACGGCUGGGGGGGCAGUUGCAAGAGAUACAGGAAGCCCUCAGUCCUUGGCAGAUUUCCUAGCUGAGAAGCGCCACCAUCAUAUUGUUCAAGCCUGAGAGGUUUUUUUAUACAGGAGAAAGUUUCUUGUAAACUUUCCCCUAACAUGCUGACCUGUAUCCUCUUUUACUUACCCCUUGACUUUGUAACACCGGCAGCUGCCCAUGGGGAUGCUGCAGGUCCAAUAAACACGACAGUGGGAUCUGAAAUGUGGUGGCC
rnacentral:lncRNA from 1 species